AUUGAACGCUGGCGGCAGGCCUAACACAUGCAAGUCGAGCGAGCGGCGGACGGGUGAGUAAUGUAUGGGGAUCUGCCCGAUAGAGGGGGAUAACUACUGGAAACGGUAGCUAAUACCGCAUACCAUCAGAUGAACCCAUAUGGGGUUAGCUGGUGGGUAUGGUAACGGCUUACCUAGGCGACGAUCCCUAGCUGGGCUGAGAGGAUGAUCAGCCACACUGGAACUGAGACACGGUCCAGACUCCUACGGGAGGCAGCAGUGGGGAAUAUUGCACAAUGGGCGCAAGCCUGAUGCAGCCAUGCCGCGUGUAUGAAGAAGGCCUUCGGGUUGUAAAGUACUUUCAGCGGGGAGGCGUUACCCGCAGAAGAAGCACCGGCUAACUCCGUGCCAGCAGCCGCGGUAAUAC
rnacentral:rRNA from 1 species